UAACGCUACAUCUGCUACCGCGUUCUUUCUGUCUGGUGGAUCAGGCCGCUCAAAAAGCUGAUUUUAGAAACAGGCGGAAGACCUGCAGCGGCAGAAGUCGUAUGGUCGUGCUGUAGUAGGGAGCAGGGAAGUGUCUUAGAAGAAACUUCCUGUUGGAAUGGCUCACAUCAAUGCAGUUGCAGCUCUGUGAGUUUCCAUGCUGCUGUUUGCUCUUCCUGCACAGUAUUUCAUAUCCCAGUGGUAUGGAACCGACUCUGUUGAACGCGUCCAAAUAAUAGAGAGGAUAACUGCCUCUUGGAGCUGCUCUACAAGAUCUUACUUGACUUUGGACAUGUGGUCAAAUCAUUUAAAGCUGUGGCAAUCGAAGACAAGGAUAUAAAAAAUACUCCUCACUAUUGAAUUCUAAUUAACAAAGCAAAUGGAUUUGGCAAAUCUACAGCUUAUGUUCCCGAGGAAGAGAUAACAAUUAUUAUGGGAUUAGAGAUGGUAUUUAUUUUUUAUUCAGUUGCAACUUGAUUGUUAUCCUGUACGUUUAAAAAGUUGGAUGACCUUUGGCUUAAUAGAUACUACUAGGUUGCAAAGUUAGUGAAAACUAAUAGAGAAAGCAGAUAAACAAAUUACUGCUGUACUGUUAAGCAUGGGUUCUUGGAAACUGAAAAAUGACCAAACUCAAGUACUACCCACUAUCCAACUGCUGAGUUUUGUAAGUGUUUUAGCAAUUUGAUUUCUGUUAUGUACAGGCUGUUGCAGACACACACUUUUGUUUUAGGAUUUUUGCUGGAUCUACCAAAGUAUGUUGGUUUCUCAAUUCUUCUCUGAAAAAUCUGCAUUUCAAACAGCUCCUGCUCAGCUGCUGCCCAGACCAAAGAGUAUCUCCUUUCUUAACUGCAAAACUCUUUGGGAGCCAAAAAAAUCUGCUUUGCGUAUCAGGGUUAGAGUAGCUUUUGAUUUCCAUCUUAUGCAAUGCACACCGGAUUUUUAAAUUAGUUUUGAGAUUUUUAUCCAGAAAACAGCCUUCAGGUAUG